rnacentral:lncRNA from 1 species
GCACCUUCACGGCCACUGAAUCCUGGCCAGACCAUUAUCCCCUUUCUGUCCUCUGCCACCUUCAACCAGCCUAGGGGCAGAGGAGCAGAUAACUGGGGUUUGAGACUGAGGGACGGACAUCCUGGCCUGGAGCUCCCUCCUUCCUUUUUCCUAUGCCAUUUUUCAGUCUCAUGCUUUCUCAUGGCUGAUACUAGUGCUGACAUUUGUCGCAGAAUACCUUCUCUCCCCGAGGACCUUCCAGGGUGACUCAUUUGAGAUCUCAGGCGAGUGGCUACUGAGCCUCGAGAGCCACCAGGAGCGGGGAAACAUGACUGAGCUCACAUCAGAGCUGGGCAGCGGUUGGGGGCCGGCCAUCCCCCCACCCGGAGUGCAAAGGUGGCCACAAGCCCCCUUGCACCAUGUCUUCUUGUGCCUGAGUAGAGCACAUCUUGACCCAAAAGGACUGUGUGUACGUGGGAGUUGGAACCUUAUGCAUCUCAUAUUUCUGUGUCCUGAGCUGCGCACAUGAUAAGGCCCUGGAUUCUGUGCUUCAGAGAUCUCUGUUGCCUUUCAGGUCCAUUUUCUCAAGCAGGUGAUGGGAGGGCCUCCUAGGUCAGACUCUGCCAUGCCCACUGGUACUGGCCUUUCUCUAAGAUGAC